rnacentral:rRNA from 1 species
AUUGAACGCUGGCGGCAGGCCUAACACAUGCAAGUCGAACGAGUGGCAGACGGGUGAGUAAUGUCUGGGCAACUGCCCGAUGGGGGGGGAUAAAUACGGAAAACGGUAGAUAAUACCGCAUAACAUAGGAUGGGCCCAGAUGGGAUUAGCUAGUAGGUGGGGUAACGGCGCACCUAGGAGACGAUCCCUAGCUGGUCUGAGAGGAUGACCAGCCACACUGGAACUGAGACACGGUCCAGACUCCUACGGGAGGCAGCAGUGGGGAAUAUUGCACAAUGGGCGCAAGCCUGAUGCAGCCAUGCCGCGUGUAUGAAGAAGGCCUUCGGGUUGUAAAGUACUUUCAGCGAGGAGGCGUUACUCGCAGAAGAAGCACCGGCUAACUCCGUGCCAGCAGCCGCGGUAAUUC